ensembl:snRNA U6 U6 spliceosomal RNA
GUGCUUGCAUUGGCAGCACAUAUACUAAAAUUGGAACAAUACAGAGAAGAUCAGCAUGGACUCUGCACAAAGAUGACAUGCAAAUUUGUGAAGCGUUCCAUAUUUUU